GCCCACCGCCCCGCCGCCAGUCCCCGCCCCGCAGCCGGCGCAGCCGGCGCCACCACCCGCUGAGGACGCCGCCCCCGGACCUCCGGGCCGCCCGGGUCUCCGCGCCCCGGGCGCCUACGAGAGCUGUCAGAACUGCAAGCGGGCGGCGCUCACCGCCGGCUGCGUGUGCGUAGUCUUCUCGUUCCUCUCCAUGGUGGUGCUGCUGUUCACCGGUCUCAUCUUCGUCAACCACUACGGCGGCGGUGGCGGCGGCGGCGGGGGUGGGGGACCCCCGAGCAGCGGUUCGUCCCCCGGCCCCGCCCCAGCUACCGGAUCGCCCUCGCCUGUGGGACCCAUUUGCCUGUCGGUGGCUAGCAUCCUGGCACUCUUCUCGGUGGUAGUUACCUGGAUCAUCUGCUGGCUCAAGUACCGGCCCGAUGGGACCGCCGCGGGCUCCGCAGGAAGCGGCGGCAGUGGCUCCAGGGCGCGGGCGGCCGCAA
rnacentral:lncRNA from 1 species